CGCAGCGGACGGUUCAGGAUGACUUGGAGGCUGAGGGCAGAGUCUGUUCAACACUCAGGCAGGCCCCUUCCUCAAACAAGAGAAGUCACGGUCCAGAGAACUGGAAGUUCCACCCUUCCUGUCUCAACCUAUUUGAUAUGCAUGCUCCACCAGAGAGAUGUUCCUAAAAGGCAAACGGAUUCCACUCCUGAGGCCCCCAGGAAACAGCCACCUCCAGCCAUGCACCGCUCAGGCCUGUUAUGUGUCUUCAGUUUCCCACCCAUAAUCAUAACUUCUUUCCUUUUUAAACUUUUUUAGAGAGAGUCUAUUGUAAUCCAGCCUGGCCUUUCACUCACUGUGUAGCCAAAGAUGACCUUGACCUUCUGAUGCUCUUGUCUCUACUUCCUUGCUUUCGGGAUGACAGGCUGGGUAGACAGACCUGUCACAUGCCAGGCAAGUGCUCCAACACUGCGCUACAUCUCCAUCCCAGCUGGCAAGGCACAGCUCUCCUGAGAACCACGUUGGCCCGUGCCCCACCCUCCAGGAUUCCACGACCAACUCCUUUAUUCUGGUUGUGAGUUAACCCCCGAAUAAAUUCCUUUGACCAUCAA